ensembl:lncRNA
GUACAUGGGAGGGUGUACCUGAUUCACGAAGGACCAGGAGCGGGUAAUUCCAGCAAGGCUUUGUUUUAAGAACAGCACCUGCAGGGCUGCCAGCGUGCAGCUUACAGUCAGUGUUUCGUGAUGGCUGACUCUGCUCCUCCACUGGAUUAGAGCUGCAAAGCUGAAAAUGCAGCUCUUAGUCGCUCUUUUACAAAGGAAGUGAUUCCCGAGGUUGGAUGACGUGUACAUUUUUCAGAGUGCUGGGGCUGCACGUUGGUGCUGAUUGGCCCCUGGGUAGGAAGCACCAGCUUCCCUGUUGGCAGAUGGACAGGACUUAUCGCAAGCUUUGCAUCACCUCACAUUGUGUCCAGAACCAACUGUGAUUUUCCCAGGUGAUGCUGAGGCCGCUAGUUCUGGGAGCACUUUUUGAGAAAAGGAGUGAAGAAGUGGUUGGUCCAAAGGGUAAAGAGAUGAGCCAAAGUCCUUAGGUUGAGAGUAACAAGCGCCUGCUGUAAGGAGCCAUAGGGCUAACUGGACCGGAGUGCUGGGCCUCCCAGAGGCGGGCCACACCAGCUUCAGUAACAGCGCAUCUCUCCAUAAAACGCCACCCCUGAGUUAAUGAAAAGAGCACUAAAACAACAGUGGCCCCACAAAGGGUGGAUUCUUUACUGCUGAGUCACCUGGGAAGCCAGUGUAGAAGCCCAGGACUCUCCUGAUCUCUAAGCUUCACUUUCCCAGAGACCCAGCAAGUAUUCAGUUAAUCUGAUCCAAGGAGAUAGAUAGAUUUGAUAAUGCAACCCAAGAGUCACCCAGAUCUGGGUUUGGAACCCCUCCAAGGGCAAUAAACUGCCUGUGAUUUUUAGAGACAUUUCUGGAGGAGCCCGAGGAUAAGCAGGGGAAUGAGAAGAAUCCUGGGCUGUGAACAUUAUUGCUUCCUCAGAAGAAAAGUCAAAAGAUACUCCCUCCAUCCACUCUACUUUCCACUUAGUUAUUCCAACUGCUUUGGAGAUCUUCAGCAGGAAAUCAAAUGCCUAAGCACUUACGUGUGUCAUGCCUACUUGCUACAAUGGACUCGAAAGAAUGUACAAUAAAAACACACGUGGUAGUUAGGGAAAACUGCAAUGAAGAUGAGAAAGAGAUGGC